rnacentral:rRNA from 1 species
UACGAAGGGGGCUAGCGUUGCUCGGAAUCACUGGGCGUAAAGCGCACGUAGGCGGGUCGUUAAGUCGGGGGUGAAAUCCUGGAGCUCAACUCCAGAACUGCCUUCGAUACUGGCGAUCUCGAGUUCGGGAGAGGUGAGUGGAACUGCGAGUGUAGAGGUGAAAUUCGUAGAUAUUCGCAAGAACACCAGUGGCGAAGGCGGCU